UCUGUGAUGACUCUGGAUAACUGUACUGAUCGCAGUCAGCCUUGUGCUGGCGACGGAUCUUUCAAAUGUCUGCCCUAUCAACUUAAGAUGGUAGGUGAUCUGCCUACCAUGGUGAUAACGGGUAACGGGGAAUCAGGGCAAAUUACCCACUCCCGGUACGGGGAGGUAGUGACGAAAAAUACCGAUGCGGGACUCGUCUGAGGCUCCGUAAUCGGAAUGAGUACACUUUAAAUCCUUUAACGAGUUUGUAUGGCGGUGUUAGAGGUGAAAUUCUUGGAUCGCCGCCAGACAAACUACAGCGAAAGCAUUUGCCAAGAAUGUUUUCAUUGAUCAGGAGCGAAAGUCAGAGGUUCGAAGACGAUCAGAUACCGUCCUAGUUCUGACCAUAAACGAUGCCAACUGACGAUCCGCGGUGGUACGUUUAUUUAGCCCCGCGGGCAGUCCCCGGGAAACCCUUAAGUCUUUGGUGUCCGGGGCCGCACGCGCGCUACAAUGACGGUGUCAACGAGCUUGACCUCCUGGCCCGAAAGGGUUGGGUAAACUGAUUCAUCACCGUCGUGACAGGAAUCGGGGCUUGCAAUUGUUCCCCGUGAACGAGGAAUUCCUAGUAAGUGCAAGU
rnacentral:rRNA from 1 species